AAACUCAAAUGAAUUGACGGGGCCCGGCACAAGCGGUGGAGCAUGUGGUUUAAUUCGACGCAACGCGAAGAACCUUACCAGGGCUUGACAUCCCUGACCGCGUAUGAAGACGUUUUCACCCUCGGGUGACAGGGAGACAGGUGGUGCAUGGUUGUCGUCAGCUCGUGUCGUGAGAUGUUGGGUUAAGUCCCGCAACGAGCGCAACCCCUAUUGUUAGUUGCCAUCAUUCAGUUGGGCACUCUAACGAGACUGCCGGUAAUAAACCGGAGGAAGGUGGGGAUGACGUCAAAUCAUCAUGCCCCUUACGACCUGGGCUACACACGUGCUACAAUGGUUGGUACAACGAGUUGCGAGUCGGUGACGGCGAGCUAAUCUCUUAAAGCCAAUCUCAGUUCGGAUUGUAGGCUGCAACUCGCCUACAUGAAGUCGGAAUCGCUAGUAAUCGCGGAUCAGCACGCCGCGGUGAAUACGUUCCCGGGCCUU
rnacentral:rRNA from 1 species